AUAAUUGCAUCGUUGUGCCUGGGCUGUGCAUUAGAAGGAAGCCUUUGCGCGAGCAGUGGUGGACGAAGCGGAAGCGAGAAUAUCGGCUUGAGUAACACAAACAUUAGUGAGAAUCCAAUGCCCUGAAAACCUAAGGGUUCCUCCGCAAGUUUCGUCCACGGAAGGUGAGUCAGGGCCUAAGAUCAGGCCGAAAGGCAAAACUCUUUUUUUUGGGAGGUGU
rnacentral:lncRNA from 1 species